rnacentral:lncRNA from 1 species
AGCAGACCUACAUUAUUGAGUUUGAGAGGUUUCAUGGAUGUCAACAUUGUAUCGUAUUGGGAUUCGAAGUUCACGUCUACAUUUUUGGAGCCAUUCAUAAGGAACUUGGGACAAAGAUCCACAGGAAUACAACUUAUUAUCAUCAUACAGAUGGUUAGUCAAAGAGGACUAUUCAGACUUAGGGGACAUGCUCAGGGAUUACGUCUUAUAAUGGGAUGGAAGAUCGGAAAGCAUUACAUC